rnacentral:lncRNA from 1 species
UCGGACCGCGACCAGAUGUGUCCACUAGUUCCUCCCUUUGGGGGCGCAGUGGCUGUCAGUUUAACUGUGGCAGCCUCCUGUUGCCGUAGCGAGUUUGAGUUUGGUGUACCCUUUAGAUGUAGGCUUUUGGAGAAAUAAAACCUCCACCAGUUACUGGAAUGAGUCUUUCCCUUCGAAGGUUUUCUCCCAACACCAUCGGACGCGCCACUUUUGCUCAUUUCCGAUCACGACCAAGUCCAGCACGUACAAAGUGGUAUCAGCUGAAAUGGGAUAAGCUCACCUUUACGUCCGGUUGACACGUUUCCGUCUGCGGAUUGUUGCCGCUUCAAUCUGAUGGAUACGAGCUGGCAGAGCCUGUUGGCCUGGUAGUUAGUAUGUAACCUGGGCCAUGGUAGGAAAUUUUGACAUCUUGUUUGCGACUGGAUGCGCACACUGUGCACUCGCCGCGUGUCAGCGCGUGCCGAACGUACCGUUAAUGCAUUAGGCCGUAGACGACGUCUUUGCUGCGCGUGGGCGUGCUCUCCCGGACCGCGCCGCGGUUCUGCCGCAGUCUUCGCAUCGGUGCGAGCGCACAGUCUGACGCACGCCACAGACCACGCCGCUCCUGCGCACUGUCCUGUUUUCUCGUCGCUCUGCCGAGGGUCCACGCAGCCUCACCGCCGCACGCAGAUGUCGCUGCCGCCGCCCCGUCAUCUCGACGUCCGGCGCUGCGCCGUACCGCUAGUCCGCCGACACCAUCGCCUUCGCCGCUGCCUCCGCCGAUACACGACGUUGAUGUGGGUUUGUCACCGAAGAACUACCGACGCCGUCACUGAUGCAGCGCGGAUGAGUUGAGCACGAGUAAAUGAAGUACCAAGGCGCACGAGGAUUCGCAUUUGGAACAGAGGUGUGCUGAUUCAGUAACAUUAACGACGUUAGGAAGUUCCAUAAGGAAACACAUAAGAGUGCAAGCAACAGUUUAAACAGAUACGAGGAAACAGUUUUUUUGUAACAAGAGUCAAGAAGCAGUGACAACAUGAGAUGUAAAGACGAAUAAGUACCCUCAGAGGAGGCAGAUACUUUUAAAGUACCUUCACAAGUUCCAGAGUUUGAGAAAUAAAAGAUAGGAGGAAGUUGCAUCAGAAUUAAUUAUAGGAUGAGUUGACUACGCCCACUACUGCUCUGGCUACUAAUGACAUUUAUUGUGUUUAGAGUAAGGUUCUUGAGCCAUGCCUCACUAUUUGUGCAUUUUUGUGUGUUAGAUCUUAUGUAUUUUGGUGUGUAAGAGUGACAGUUUUCCACUCCCUCUGAGCUUGUCCAUAGAGAUAAAUGCAUUUUCUAUCAUCUGAAUACAGAUAAUUAAUGAAAGGUACUGCCGUAAUGCAGCUAGAUACUGCACAGCAUGAGCGAACAUGUGUUGAUAAAAGCAGGUAGCGUGCGCCAAUUCUUAUUUGUUCAGUUAUAAACAACAUUGUUAGGAAAAACCUUCCCUCUAACUUUAAAGUUACUCCUCCCGUUGUGAAUGAUACAGUGAUUCAUUGGUCCCCUUGGGAACGUUCAUACCUUGUUAGGGUGUUUGAUUUGAAAUGGAACUUUUGCACCAUGAGGCGAACUGCCACAUCGCCCAUUGAUUUGGAUCACGGCAGCAAUUCUAAUCAGGCAUGAGGCAGAGUAGAUUAUUUCCACAAUAACUAACAGUAGAAGUAGUAGCAGAAGUAGCUAACUGCGUCAAGGGGAGUUUAUGAUGGUUCAUUCUACUAAUAACACCACAACAUUGCGCUAGAGGCACCAUUCGGGAUAAUAUCAACUUACCAUAACAUCACUGAGUGAUAAUUACGCUUGAUACUGAUGGAAUGGUUAAUUUUAGUGACACUGCAUUUGCUGGAAUGAACUACUGGUAAUAAGGUUCCUUACGCUACUGGCGGGGCUCGGUGUGCGUGUAUCCGUUCUGCCAAUGAAAGUCUGGUGAAUAAAACCCGUAACCGCUACA